UAUACUAACGGUGCCACCCUACACUCUGCUGCACCGCACUCCAAAAGCUGGGAGUUAGAGAGCACUCAUGCGCUUUGAGGAGUUCUAGAUUCUGCUGCCAAUUUGAAGAGUAUCCAGAGGAAUAUAGACAUGGGAAAAUCACUAGGAAUUGUCUUGUUUAUGUGCUGAUCGCUCACUGACAGUCCCAGCAGAGGCACUCCACAGCAUUACAGACCCUGUAAAGAUCAAGAAGGUGACCUACAAGGUUUUUGGUUGGAAUUUUGAGGCAAAACAACCCCCACCUAUGUGUUAUUACUUCCUCAGGGGGGUUAGCUCCAUCAUCCAUCAGGAAAACGGAGGAACUGAUUUUAUCUUGCUCUUUUUCAGGAGGAAAGUGAUGCACUGAUUUAAGUUGCAGUGCCAUACUUUACUUCUCAGAGUGGAGGGCAUCCUGUUAUAUCUUUCACAGGUCAGGAUCAUGCCAUAUAGCAGCAAUCUGGGUCAGUGGUGGGAAACAGCAAGACACAUCCUUCCAGAGAGCUGCCAGAAAUACGUUUUCCAAAGACCUUUAACUGAAUUUACUCGAAGAUGCAACGAUCCUGUCAUUGCUACACGUGUGACUGAAUCGCCCUCCUCUGAGCUUCCUCCCUGGGCUCCUGCAAGCUCUUCUGUAUAGCUGGUUCUGGAAUCAACGCAUAAAGCCUGAACUACUGGCGUUCCAGCUCUGACACAUUCCCGUACCAGUGGACCUGCACCAGCCAAGCCUCAAGCGUCACUGUGGUCUGGUACUCAGCUCCCAAUUUCAUUGUCCUCAGAAAAGGAGUACAUGCCAUGCCACUGGAAUUCUGCCCAACGUGCUGCACAAAUACAGAAGCAAAUAUCAACAAAUGAAGGAAACAAUUGGAACAUAAGCAAAUACUGCCAUAAUCUCUCUUUUAAUUAUAAGAGUAAGAAAUACAUCAGCAAUAACUCUGCAAAGUUCACGGGGUCAGCAGCCACCAUUAAAAUUUUGUUUGUGGGAGUUAUCAACUUGUAAAUUCAAGUACUUCUGUCUUGUGUCACUACCAAUGUUGAUUGAUAGUGAUCAGGAGCCAGAGCAAUCAGAGAUGGACUGUGAAAUCCAGAUUCUCCAUCGGCUCAUAAAUAUGGAAAGAGUUUCAGGCCCAGAUAACUUUUUCUCUUAAAUCACACCUAGAACAUCCAGAUGUAUCACACGUAGAGUCUCUCAAACAGUAGAAUAAGGUAUGUACAAUACAAUAAAACAUCAUGGUAAGCCUUAGAUACCAUGAUUCCCAUCUGCAUAUUUUAGUGUGCCCUUUCUGUGCCUCCUGCGAUCUUCUUCUAGUGCUCAGUGUGGGAUCUAUGCCAAAAAGUUUACAAAUUUAAUGUAUGCAGUGGCACAAAAAUGGUCUUUUUUGAGAAGGCAUGGGCUAGGCCACCAGUCUGUCAGAGGGUCUGAAAACUGGUUGGACCACCAGGCUCAGCUGCUAAAAAAGGAUGGUUGACAUGUAGCUGCUGAAGAACACAGUGUUCUGCAUCUUGAUCAGAGGCCCAGAUGAUGACACAGAAUGCACCUAGAGCAAAUUUAUGGACGCUAAAUCAGGAGCGGCUGACAUGAGGACCGGCAGAACUUAAUUCAGAGAUAUCUCGAUAAGUUUGAGGAUUAAGGCCAACAGAUACCUCAAGCUCAAUAAAGAAUAACUCCCAAGCACCAGGACAGGCAGGAAACUGGCUGAGCAUCAGCCCACAAAAAGGACCAGGGGAUCAUGGUGAUGUCAGGCUGAGAAUGAGCCCAUUUCAGCCAACUGCACCCUCGACUCCAUCAAGAGAGGUGUGCCGGGGAAGGUACUAUCCCACAGUCACUAAAACACAGAAAUUAGGUGCAAAAGUCUUCACAGAGGUUGGCAAACUCUGCUUUAAAUGUUAAUCCAGUAGGCAUAGAAAGAAAAAGAGUGCAUUGUCAUAAAAACAGGCAUAAUGUAGCUGGGAAAUUAGAAGGUAGCAAUCCUUGCCGGAGCAGUGUGUUUCUGGAAUAGUUUCCUGCCUUCAGUAGCAGGGUAAAACAAUCGAGCUAGUUGUAAAAUGGAGUUUAAUAGUUUAUUAAAAGACCGAUGCAAUAAUGUUGCACGUGACAGCAAGUGGUGAUGUAGGAGGUCUUAUCCAGUCCUACAAUCUUGAAUCCUGCAUGCACCACGAGUGAUUAAAAAAAUGAAAGGAUAGUAGUUUCUGAAACAUAAUAAAGAGGGAGAGAAAAGAGGAAACAUAUGGCUGUUGGCAAACAGAGUCUCUGGGGGGUAAUGAAGAGGGAAGCAAUCUUCCUUGAAAACUUGUUGACUUUGUCAUCAGAGAUCACAAUUUUGUCUCAAUGUGACCUGAUGCCGCUGCCGUUAACACUCCUCAUUUUGCAGCACAAUUUCAUUGUGAUGGCUGCUAGAAGCAUCACUGCUUCUAGAAAAACAGCAAUACCACAUUUUAUACAGUGUAUGCCAUGGGAUGUCAAGUAACAGAUGAUGCUGAAUGAUUCCCUUGAAUCCCUUAUCUACAAAGCAAGGCCAUCUACCAUUUGAUCAUAUCAUCAUAAGCAGAGAUGAUUUGAGGCACCACACAUGCACAAAUGUAUGUCUCUGAAAGAACGAGGUUAUUUGUGUGCAGCAUUUUGUGGUUUAGGUUCUAGCGUUUUUUACAAUCCCUAAUGGUUUUUAAUUUUGUACAUUGUUAUGCCUGAUUAAUGACAUUUAUUGUACUCACAGUGAUUGUGUUCUUGUUUAUUAAAAGGUAACUGAGAAGAUAA